AGGAGUUUAAAUACUCAUCUUCAUUAAAUUAAAGUCAUCCAUUCAAGGAAACGUGACCCAUUCUCACCCAUUGGAUAAAUUAUAUCUGGGGAACGAAUCUGAACCGCACGAUCAGAUAAAAUUAGGAUCGUUCGAUUGCGCCUGAAUAGAAAACGAAUCUGGGUCGUCCGUGCGCGCGAGAGGAGAUUUGGGUCGUCGGAUCCAUUGGCAAGCGGAUCACCCGCAU
rnacentral:lncRNA from 1 species